CUUCCCUGUUACAUCUCUACCACACUCGGCUCCUCAGAUGGGUGAGUUACCGCUCUCUCUAUCGGUUGCGCUGUUUGUUUACUGCUUACUAUCUGGGUGCGUUGCCUCCUAUUUAGUCAGCUGUUUUGGUGAAGUGACAUUUAGGUUUGGCUAAAGUGGUUUUGCUUGUUACAUUUAAUAAAUCAAGUAACAGACCAAAAGCAUUAUUCAACACAAUAAAUAAACUUACCAAACCUCCAUCUCAUGUUGCUCUAGUUUCUGAUGAUCUUUGCAUUUCAUUCUUGGCUCACAUGCUAGAAAAGACAGAUGCCGUAAACCAGUGCCUCUUUAAUUAUGCCACUAUCAUUAGUUAUCUGCCGAAUCAACCUGGUCAAUCCCUGCCUUUUUUUUUCUCUGUCUACUCCUUCUGUCUCUGAGUUAAUCCUGAAAUCCAACCCUUCAUCUUGUCAUCUUGACCCUGCUCCUACUCCUCUACUGAAACUUUGCCAUUCAGUUAUUUCUGCACCUAUCUCUCACUUCAUCAACGCAUCUCUUACCUCUGCUUCAUUUCCUCUGUCACUCAAAACUGCAGCUGUUGCCCCUGUUCUCAAGAAACCCAACCUUGAUCCCUCAGUUUUAUAUAAUUAUCGUCCCAUUUCAAAUCUCCCCUUCAUAGCUAAAUUACUGGAAAGUACUGUUGCCUCCCAGCUUCAGUCUUUUCUAGUUGAAAAUAAUCUUUUUGAUCCUUUUCAAUCUGGUUUUCGCCCCUUGCAUAGUACUGAAAUUGCACUAGUUAAUGUACUGAAUGAUCUGCUUCUCUCUGGUGAUUCUGGUUCUCUGUCUAUGCUUUUGCUGCUCGACCUCAGCUCUGCUUUCGAUACCGUCUCCCAUCAACUACUCAUUUUGCGCCUUUCGGAUGUGGGUUUUUCUGGUGCUGCUCUUUCCUGGUUCUCCUCCUAUCUCUCUGACAGACUGUUCUACAUUUCACUUCAGAAUUUUCGCUCACCCACUGUCCCCCUGAAGCAAGGUGUCCCUCAGGGAUCCGUUCUUGGGCCAUUAUUAUUUAUAUAUAAUCUAUAUAAUUCCUC
rnacentral:lncRNA from 1 species